UUGUGGAAUCGUUCAGAGUAAUACCUCAGCCGUUUAUCUGAGUCUGGUCUGUUUUAUUGCUUAUUAUCUGUGGAGAGGGUUGUAUCAUGAAGCUUCUAGUUGUAAAAGUAUUGACAAUAGUCACUAUGUUAUAUCUGUGCAACAUGAUCGAUCGGAUGGCCGCUUUAAGACCAGACCAAUGUCUAUUUAAAGGAGCAUUAUAUAAUGGAGGAGAGACGUUUAUUUAUAAAUGUAGUGAAUGUUUAUGCCAAGGUGGUGACGUUGUGGUUUGUGACUACAUACCUUGCUAAAACUUCAAAUGGUCAUUUCCAAAAUUUCAGAGGUAAACAAGCGGUCAGAGAAAGUGUAAACCACGUCUCGUGGUCAACAAUUUGUGAAUCAACAUUUAUAGAGACAUAAUAGCCGCUUCGAAAAUAACAAUCAAUGUAGCGUGGAAUUUUAAAAAAUUAUUUUAGUCUAAGAAUAAAUAAAAAAUGUUUUAGACUAUUUUGUUUGUUAUUAAUGAAUAUACAUGUAGUUCUGAA